rnacentral:lncRNA from 1 species
CAUAAACUUAGCCUGGUGCAAAAUCAGAAUUUUUUUCAAAAAUCAGAAUAUUUUAUUUUCAUAUUCAUUUCAGUAACACCUCUCUUCCAUAAUUGUAUUCUUUUCUUUUGAAACUACUGCUUUUUAAAUUCUCCUAAUCAUACCCCAAUUUUCAUCUCACCGUAUUUUUAUUCUAUGCUUUAAGGUAAUUCGUUACUUGAUCUUCCAGGCCCCUAAUACAUAAUAACCAACCUCAAUUUAGAGUUAUUUCAUAAAUGACUGUGGUUGUUGCUGUUGGCCACUAUUCUCCAUUCUUUGGGAGCGGAUAAUACGUUCCUGCCCCAUAGAAUUCAGGUUUGGCUGUGUGACAUAUUUGCCCAAUAAAACAUGAAUUCCUGUGACCAAAGGUAUGUGUGAGUCUAGGCCUCAAGGGGAAAUGAGCUCCCACCAGCACUCUGGCUCAUCUCUUCUGCCAUGAGAAGGGCAUUUUCCACAUCAAGACUAUGCCUUCUGCCUGGGGUAAAGAUGAAAACACAGGUGGAACACAGCUGCAUUUCCUCUGCAGGGGUCCCCCUGUAUUAUGAGCCAUAAAUAAAUCUUUGUGAUUUGUAAGUCACAGAGAUUUUUGGAUUUUGCCAACACAUUCUUGCUCACUGAAGUCUUGCCUUCUAAAUGCACAUGGUUGCAGGUAGUAACUUGAGUAAAUGCUUUGUCCCUGCAUGCUUUGGCUCCUUUACUACUGGAAAUGGGGCCUGUGAUAUCUUUAAAUAUAAACAAAGCCCAGGAUCAAUUCUAGAUAACAGAGAGUUAAUUUGCAGAAAAGAUCAAUUUCAGAUUUAGUUCCUCUGGAUCUAUUUCUAGAACUAAAUUCUGUAUUGGGGUUGGAUCAGAGAAGUAGAAACACCGGAAGUGCUAUUUAACAAAGGAUUUAUUAUAGGGAUUUUUUUUUUUUUUCUUUUUAGGGCCACACCUGCAGCAUAUGGAAGUUCCUGGCCUAGGGAUCAAAUUGAAGCUGAAGCUACAGCAACACUGGAUCUGAACCACAUCUGUUACUUAUGCUGCAGCUUGCAGCAACAGAGGAUCCUUAACCCACUGAGCAAGGCCAGGGUGUGAACCUGCAUCCUCACUAUGUCAGGUUCUUAACCUGCUGAGCCAUAUUGGGAACUCCUGUUAUAGGGAUUUGACUUUAUGAACAUGUAAGAGCUGGUUGAAAUGUCUGUCUGAAGCUUUUGCUCCCACGUCCAGACCUGGGGCCCACUGUGGAUGGAGUAGGUGGCUCUGAAGGAAAGAUAGAUGAGAAAUAGAGGGUGAGGAUUUAACAAGGAGAGAUCAGGGAGUGUAAGGACAAGCUGGAAUCCACAGGGAUGAACUAGAACUCAUAUAGGUCUUAGCAACUUUUCAGGAUCUGACUGUGAUUAUAGAUGGACCUGCAGGAGAAGCAGGUAUUUUCAUAAUGAUGGUAAAUGAAGCAGGACUCUGAAAAGCUAAAGGAAGGUAUCCAACAGGGUCUGGAAAUACUGCAACCCUGGCUGUUGUCACAUUUCCACCAGGUGAGCCAAGGUAUAUGUGACAGAGUGCCCUGGAGCACCCUGGCUAUGCUUCACCUCUGUCUUCCAAAUCUUAUGUGAAAUGUUUCUUGUUUUCUGACCCACACUAAUCUGGAACUAUGCCUGGAAGGGAAUUCUGGAAACACAGUUUUGGCUCAGCUUAAAACAGACAACAAGAAAAUGUCCCAGUCAAGAUUUGAUGAGUGAACAAUUAACCACUUUUAAGAAUGAACUGCAGUGAAUUUCAGCAGUCUGAAUACUCAGAACUCUCCUCUUCCCUAGGGAACCUAAUACUUCUGUGGAAAAUAUAUUUAUUUCCAUUUGCUUGUUUAUUUGCUAGCAUCAAAUCUCUCACCACCUACCUUCUAUGAAGCAUCAUCUCAGCCCAUCCACUAGAACUUUUAGGUUUGCAUGAGCUUCAACCCAUUUAUCUGUGUCAUAGAAGCCUUCCUGCCCUAGAUUAACCAAGCAUCACUUUCUCGAUGUUUUGAUUAUUCUAAAUGUCUAUGUCAACAUGCAAGAGUAAUCAAGUAGCAUUUAGAGAAAGGGUUCAGGAAGAGAUAAAAGAUAAUAAAAGCUGCAGCUUGUGUAACGGAGCGUGUGAUGUUAACUUCUUUAGAUAAUGAAAACAAGGAAGCAAGGAGAGCUAAAGAAAAUAAAGAUGAGCUGCUUUCCCUCACCCCAAACCUCAAUCCUAAUAUGUUUAUAACAAGCCACCAUCUAUCAGGGUAAAGAUACAUCUUCAAAAAUUAAAAGAUCCCUGAUAGUUUUUCAUUAAUAUAAAAUGUUCCAAUAUUUGCUAAUUUGGAUAUAGGAAGUUAAUUCACUAAGAGUAAUUAUAGAAGUGAUUCACGUUGCAUUGUUUGUAGAGUCUCUAUCUUAUUUGUCAGGAUCACUUAAAGCUAUGUCUUGCAGGUACCUACAAUUAACUCCACAAUUAAAGUGCUUAUUAUCACAAAUGGCUAAACACUAAGCUAUGUGUCAAAUCACUGCUUAGCACAACCUUAAGUUAAAGCAUCUACUGUACAUCUUGUUAUCCAGCCAAUAUAGAAAGUCGAGCCAAGCAUUUAAAACCCUGUUUAAAUAGACACAGUUACUAUAUCUAAUCAACACAGCAGUGGGGCUUGCCAAAAACCUAUAAAACUAAUGGAUUUGCAAGAAAAUUACAUCACCUUCAAAUCAAUGCUGGUAACACAGGUGGCAUUUAUAAAAAGCAAAGAAAUUGACAUUAACACAGCCCAUCUCUGCUGCCUGCCAAUGAGCACUCCAGCUUUAAGGAAAGAUCUUCUUUCUUCCAAGAAUUAUAUUUAAAUACGCUAACUUAAAUCAUUCUAAAAUAGUGUAGUAGAAAGGACCAGAGAUGGUUCUAAAAAUAUGUCAAUUGAUAAAUUAAGAAUACUCUGGUUUUAGUUUAUUAGGGCUGUCCUUAUCCAGCAAUGAGCAAAUAGUCUUUAAAAACAGAGUUUCUUUUCCUAUUGAAAAAAUAAAUAAAAGGAUUCACCAUCUAACUCAAACAUGACUUGCUUCUUCACCAAAGAGGCCCACAGAAACUGCAGUGCACAGUGUUAUAAAAAAGCAGCUGAGGACCCCAACCUGUGGCUGCAGGCAUAACCUCUGCUUUAGGGACCUGCAUUACUUAGCAGAUGGAAUUAAAAUUCUGAUAAGUGAUAUAAAAGGUUUAUAAGGGAGGAAAUUGUUGUGUGGUCACAUUGUCUGCCUUAAUCCCUUCCAGUCUGUGCUACCCAGCUUGUUAAAACCAAUCCAUGAGGAAUCAUUUUCACCUUGAAAACUCCAGAUGUUCAUAUGGAGCUUAGAAACAAAGCUAUCCAGAAAAUGCUUUCCUGGAUAAUUCUAGAGAAAUAGGAGGUAUGUAUCAAAAGUGUGUGCAUGCACACACACACACACACUGUUUACACACUGCCAUCAUAAAACACCUAUACGAAAUUAACAUAUUUCCUGGGAAGAGAUACUGUGUGCUACAAAUAUAAUCAGUUACAAAUCUAUUCAAGCAUAGGAAUGGCUUGUAUUCCACUGACUGAGCUACACAAAUAUUCCAUCUACAGGACUAGAUACUGAUAUCAAAUAUUUAGAUCAUUUGGCUUUAGAGGGAUAUCUGUACUGUCUCCUAAGAACAUUUUGUCCUCUCCUUUCAAAAAAUAAUCAGAGAAACUCAGAAGCAUUAGUUACACAGUGGAAGGGCCAAGUAGGUAAUAGUCCAUUUAACCGUAAGUAUUGGCAUCUUCCAAGGUGUAUUUUGUACAUGAGGACUAUAAACUUCAAGGGACUGUGUGAGCAGUAAUCAGGAUAAAGGCAUGUACGUAUAGGAGGAUUCUUCCAUGAGUUGCUAUAGAAAGGGAGGGUUUAAGUAAGGAUAUCAUUAAUAUAAUUAGCUACAAAAUUCUUUUUUUAAAACCAUGGUAGGAGACCAAUCAAGAUGGCAGAGUAAGAGGAAGUGGAACUCACCUCCCCAGUGAACACAUCAAAAAUACAACUAUGGAACAAUUCUCACUGAAAGUGAACUGGAAAUUGGCAGAAAGACUCCUGCACAACAAGGGCUGCAAGAAAGAUUCACACAUAAUAGGUCAGAAGGAAAGAAAUGCUCUCAGGUCAGGAACUGUGCAUGGGGAGGGGGACUCAGAGGAAAAGGGAGAAUUUAUGGGCAGAGCCCCUCCCUGGGGAUGGGCAGCGAGAGCCGCAGUUUGGGUGCUCCAGUCCUAGGGUUCUACACAGGGGAAAUGAGCGCCCCUUGUUUGGCUGGAGGACCAAUAUGAGCGUGUGGAAAGGCUGGACUCUGCUCCUGAGGAGUGUGUGGGGGCUGGUGUGCCCCCAAGGCAAGGUGGGAGGGUGGAGAGGGCUAUGCUCUAGCAGCUGCCUGGCUUCCCAGAAACCAAGAAACCACCUUGGAGUACACCUCAGCCCCAGCCAUAUGAAUACUCCAGCCCCACUCAGUCCACAUCACAGCACAGCACUGUACUUAGGGUAGCCAUGACUGGGGAGAAAACUCUCCCCGGGGAUGCAGAGGCAGUCAGGUCCCAGGGCAGAGCCUGAGUGGGGUGGCUGGGGCCAUGGUUGGUGCUUAUGCUGGAAAUACAGAAGAAGUAGCCCAGAACUCUGACAGUGGUCUCUCUGUUACUGAUGAUGCCCCAAAAUGCUCUGAGAGCUGACAUGAACCCCAUCUGCUUUGCAAUGUGGCUCCACAACAGGGCAGGGGUAGCAGAGGCUGGAGACAUAGAUGAGUUGUGAGGGACAAAGGGGACUUGCACCUGAGGGUCUGUCUGAGCAAAGCUAGGGAAAAAAUUAGGGGCGCCUCCACAGGCAGUGCAUUGGAGACAGUUCAGAUCUCUGUCUGUGGCUGAUAACCCAUAGGGCUACCACCCCUGCUUCAGCAUUCCCCCACUCUGGGGCAAGGGUCCCAGUGCUGGGAAAGGGAAAAGCAUGCACCUAAAGGGAACAGAACCAGCUCAAGCUCAAACUUCAAGGCUUCUGCUCUAGUAACUUGGGAUCAGACCCUACCCACAAUAAGGUAGUAGGGGCCACCAAGCCGAGGAGGAGUCCCACCUCACACCUGGCUCCAGCUCUUGUCCCUCCAUCUCCAGCCCCACCACCUACAGGGUGAUAGAUACCAGCACACCCUGAGGAAAGACAGGACUUGCAUCCACGUCAAAUCCAGCUCUCCCAGCAAAGGCACUGGGUACACCCAGUCUGUGUAAAGAUACACCUGGAUAAGAACAUCCUUUCAAGACAGUAGCAGGUAACUGUUUCAUGGAGGUAGAGAAAGGUAAACAAAAUGAAAAGGCAGGGGAAUGGUUCUCAAUUGAAAGAACAAGAGGGAACCUCUGAAAAAAAAAUGAAACAGAAAGAAUUUACCAGAUAAAGAAUUCAAAGCACUGGUAAUAAAAAUGUUAACUGAAUUAGGGAAAAGAAUAGAUGAACCCAGUGAGAAUUUUAACAAUGAACUAGAAAAUACAAAAAAAAAAAAAAAAAAAA